GUAUUUUCCAGGUAUCUGCAUCCCUAUCAAUCCAACGUUUUCUUAUUAUUGUCACUACCUACACUGACACAGACCUUUCAAGAUUAUAACCACGUCAACUGCUUACAAUCUUAGCCUGCGCGCAGUCUCAUACGACAUCGUGCGAUGUUAUGACACCGAGUGCAGGCUGCUACAAUUUUGGACAAAACUGGUUGAGACUACCUUUCCCUCUAUACCAAAUAAGUAUCCCCUUUAUAAUAAAUCCCAUGUUGAAUCAUGUU